rnacentral:rRNA from 1 species
UGAGGAAUAUUGCGCAAUGGAGGCAACUCUGACGCAGCCAUGCCGCGUGCAGGAAGAAGGCGCUACGCGUUGUAAACUGCUUUUAAUCGGAAAGAAACCCCGGGACGUGUCCCGGGUUGACGGUACCGAUGGAAUAAGCACCGGCUAACUUCGUGCCAGCAGCCGCGGUAAUACGAAGGGUGCAAGCGUUAUCCGGAUUCAUUGGGUUUAAAGGGUGCGUAGGCGGAACAAUAAGUCAGCGGUGAAAGCCCGCAGCUUAACUGCGGAAUUGCCGUUGAUACUGUUGUUCUUGAGUACGUUUGACGUGGCGGAAUGUGCCGUGUAGCGGUGAAAUGCUUAGAUAUGGCACAGAGCACGAUAGUGAAGACAGCUCACGAAGACGAAACUGACGCGUGAGGCACG